rnacentral:rRNA from 1 species
GACGAACGCUGGCGGCGUGCUUAACACAUGCAAGUCGAACGGAAAGGCCCCUUUGGGGGUACUCGUGUGGCGAACGGGUGAGUAACACGUGAGUAACCUGCCCUUGACUUCGGGAUUACCUCAGGAAACUGGGGCUAAUUCCGGCUAGGAAUCCUUGCUGCAUGGUGGGGGUUGGUCAGCUUCGGCGGUUUUGGAUGGACUCGCGGCUUAUCAGCUUGUUGGUGGGGUAGUGGCUUACCAAGGCUUUGACGGGUAGCCGGCCUGAGAGGGCGACCGGCCACAUUGGGACUGACAGACGGCACAGACGCCGACGGGAGGAAGCAGGGGGGAAUAUUGCACAAUGGGCGGAAGGCGUAUGCAGCAACGCCGCGGGCGGGAUAACAGCCUUCGGUUUGUAAACCGCUUGCAGCAGGGGCGAAGCUUGUGGUGACGUUACCUGCAGAAGAAGCACCGGCUAACUACGUG